CCAGGCUGAACAAACCCAAGUCUCUCAGCCUUUCCUCAUAAGGGAGAUGCUCCAGCCCCCUGAUCAUCUUGGUAGCUCUCUGCUGGAUUUGCUCAAGCAGUUCCCUGUCCUUCUUAAACUGGGAGGCCCAGAACUGGACACAGUACCUCAAAUGUGGUCUCACUAGGGCAGAGUAGAGGGAGAGGAUAACCUCUCUCGACCUGCUGGCCACACUCCUUUUAAUGCAGCCCAUGAUGUUUUUAAGAACAUCUCAUCUUAAAAGGCAUGUGGACAUCUCACCCAAUAUCCCCUAACAAGCAAAGUAAGCAUGUAUUAACAAACUAUGUAAUAUAAUUACAGUUUUUUUGGAGUGCCUUUCUCCUGGGUUUAAUUCAGUCUUGUUCUGCUUAGUUCCAGCUUUCAUGUAAGCCUCUAGUGGUUUCAGGGGCUAUUGCUUUGAGAUUUCAGGCUGUGCUAGAUUGCAAGUGUGUCAGGUCACAGUAAUUGGGUCAAAUCUUUAUGGUCAAAGUCAUGACAUUCCACUGCAGUCAGCUUAACUAUGGCCAGCUUGCAUCACCAUAACAUCACAGAGUAUUGUUUAAUUGCAAGGGUCUGGAAUAAGUCCAUGCCUUAGGAAAGAAUAGGCAGAUAGACAGAAAGAGGAGUAUGGUCUAAACGCUUUUUGGAUGAGAAGAAAGUUAGGAAGGAAAGCAAAGAAGAAGUAAAGGCUAUAAACACAGCUGGAUGAAAAGCCAGUGGGGAAUGACCAGUACUUCAUAAUUUUUGUCCCUUUCCAUAUACUAAUUGCUGUUAAACUUUCUAGAAAAUUCCAACUUUUUGUUAUCCUAAUAUUUAAAGUAUUUUCCCCUCCAUUACCUGUGAGAAUGUCAUUGUAUUAAAUUUGAUUAAAACCUUUCUUAAAGGCAAGCAAUCAGAAAUACUUCAGGGGUGGGUGGGGAAAAAAAGCCGGAAAAAUCUUGCCUGCCCCAAUCUGUGCAUUCACGUUUUAAAUUUUGUGUACAUAUGUAUAUAUUGAGCAAUCUUACUUUAGUUCUGGUUCAGACUUAAGUACAGAUAUUUCUAUCUAGGCUGCUGCUACAUAUCUAAGUUUGUAGGUCAAAUUCUGUCCUAGAUGUUCCCAUCAACUAUAAAUACAAACAUCUAUGGAAAGAAUGUACCUCUAAUGAUUACCAGAUUUGAAAUAUAACCUAGAAAACUAUUUCUAACUAGCAAAGCAAGUUAAGACAAUUAUGAGGAAAAGACAAUUGCCAGUUCCACCUACAUCUGGAAAUGUGAGUCAAUGUCAUUUACAUCAGGGAUGGCCUGAUUAAAUCAUUCCAGGUGUCAGCCACUGUCAUGAAUCAUUAUUUCUUUAACCUUGCAAGUGGGAGCUGUUAGAAUUGUACCAUUGUUCAACCAGUGCUUCUGACACUGGGGUUUGCAGGUCCUAAUGCUGUUUAGUCCUUCAUUUUGGAUGGUCCUGAUUUCUUAUUUGGGCAUUCUAGAUUUCUGGGAUGUAGGAAAUUGGCAGGCAGGUAUAACUUCAGGGGGACAGUUGUGAUGGCUGUAGGGAAACUCUGCAAGGGGGAUCCCUGCAAAGACUCUUUCCUGAAGGCUUUAUCCAGAAAAAAAAAGAUUAAAUCUGAACCACAGAGAAAUAUUUUGACACCUAUGUACAGCCCUUGCUGGACUAUUCUCCCUCCUCCUGUCCCUGCUCACCUCUCCUCACCCCUCCUCUGCCAUGCCUUCUCUCCCCAGCCUCCUUUUCCCCUACAACUUCUCUUGCCAUUUCCCUCAGUGUUCCACAGGCUCUUUCCAGCUAUUGUCGCUGCCACUUAGCCCACUGUGAAAGUGCAGCUCUUCUUCCUUGUGUGAUAACAGAUGACAGAUAGUUCACCUCCAGAUGGGUGACAAGAAUGUGGGUCCUUUUCAUUCUUCAUUUAGAUUUUAUACAGGGUUAUUCUGUGUCCAUGGAAGGAAGAGAGGUAAAAUUUGAGCCAUUCAAACAUAUCUUAUGGAUAUGGGCCCACGCAAGGGAUGGCUUGACCUCAGUUGUUGUCUUCAAGGGUAAUGGUUCGAUUAAGAGAGUAGGUGUAUGGUAGUCAUUAGCACUCAGGACUUAGCAGUAGUAAGAAUUCUCCUUCAUACCAGUAUGCUCAUCAGAAGGCUGGGACACACCCUAACUUUUAAUCACUAUCAGGUUCUUCCACCCACUCAAGGAGUAAAUUUGAACAUGUCCGUGAAAUGAUCAAGUAUAGUAAUACAGUAGGCCCAGUAAUGUUGAUGUUCAAUCAGUCACAAAGCUCCCCUUAGCUUCAGUGGCAGAUGGAGCAAAUCCAUUGGUUUAUAGACUUUAAAGGAAGCUUUCAUGUGGAGCGUAAGAAAACUACACCAAUUACUGUGCCCUUACUGGUUCAGGGUGAGCUAGCAAUCCUAACGAAAAGUGAGCCUUAACUAUUGGUCAGAAAAAGAGAGGGCUCACAGUAAUGAUGCAAGGAGAAAACUGCAACAGAGGCAAAUACAAUGAACUUUGCUUGAGACGGAACAAUCAGCUUCCAACACACAACAGGAUGCCAUUGGCCAAAUUGCAGUCCUGUUGGAAAGGAUCUAGGGGUUACUGGCAGGGCAAACGUAAGUGAGCAAUGCUAUGCUGUUCUUGCAAGAGAGAAAUGCUGUAUAGGACAGUGUAAACAGGAUAGUCUGUGUGAAGUCACCCAGCUGUUUGUCAGAACAGCUUUAGCUGCAAUAUUCCGUUUGGGAUUGGGUGCCAGGUUUCAAGGGAAUUACCGACCAGCUGGAGAAGGUUUGAGCAGGAGCAACAACAAGAACAGACAAAGACCUUGCACUAAAAGAGAAGGAAAACUUGAGCAAAUUAAGAAAUGUAAAGCAGAGAAGACUUCAGGAGGGGAAAAGGAGAAUGUAAUAGCCUACCAGUGCAAAAGGGUGGCAGGAAAGUAGAGUUCUUUGUAUUUGUGGCUAGGACAGCAAGUAAUGGGCUCAAGGGAAGCAUGGUAACAAGGCUGCCCAGGAAUACAAAUAGUAACCACACUCAGGGAAAAUACUUCCUUGGAAAGAAUGAAACCCUUAUACCACUGGUUAGGGGGCAAGUAAAGCAACCAGGCCACAGUCCUCAACUGUGAUGGAGCCUCUAUAUUGUGACCCAAAGAACUUGACCUUAACAUGCAUGGCAGUACAACCCUAAGAGCUGGAUGUGCAUCUGCAGCUCUGAUCCUCAAGAUACACAUAUACUUAUGUAACUUUACUAAUGGAAAUGCUCCUACUGGCUUCAGUGCAAGUACUCACUCAAGGAAAAUUGCAUCAGUGACUUUACUUGGGCUGGUGCCAGCAACAGUGUAAUGGAAUUAUUUGCUUCCAAUAGUAGCCAUGUUUUCAUUCCUUCUUUGAAUUAAAACAUAAUAAAUAUGAAGAGCAAAGCAGAUGCAGGAGAUCAGAAUAAAGAAAACCAGAGAAGUGAAGGGCAGAGCAAAGACUGCAAAAUUAAUAUUCAAUUUCAGUAUGUGCUCCAAAGAUUAAUUGGAUGGAUUUUAUCUGGUGUGUACGUUUAAGUGUGAAGAAAGAAAACCAGUAUUUUAAUCAAGGGUAAAUGCAAUGGAGAAGGGGAGGUAUGAGAAGGCUUUAACUAGAAUCUAGGAAGGGAAAAAUGUCUAAACCUGCCAUGGGUGUAUAAAUAUAUGAUGCGAGAGAAAAAGAAGUAUUGUUAGGGAAAACAAAUGUGUAUGUAUCUGUGUGACAGACUGAUGUAUAUAUAUGUGCAGUUACACACAUCAUCUUGCUUAUAUUUAUGUUGCAGCUUUGGAGAAUGUUUGUCAGGAAUUAGCACACUCAAAUUCCGGUAACGAUGCAUGAAACGUUUCUGCACCACAGCCUAAUGACAAAGCAGAAUCGCCUGCCAUGAUUGCCAAGGAAUUGCUAAACAAAGCAUGAAGACCUAGGGAUGGUGAAAUACACCAGCAGAAAUCAUGGCCAGCUGUCUUGCACAGGGCUUUGUCACGCCUGUAGCAAAUAAAUCUUUGAGAAUUGCACAAAUAGAAAAUGGGAACAAAAGAAAUGUGGCUGUCAUGACAAGUGCAACUUGGUAGCACACUAGACUUCUCUCACAUUCAGACAGAAGGGCUAAGAAAAGUCAAUAACAGCCAAAGAUGAGAGCUGGAGGGAUAACAAGUACACAGCAAAUAACCUAUGGGAAGGUUUCUUCAUACUUUGCCUAGGACAGAGAGAGAAAGGCUAGUUGAGGUUGACAGCGACCUUGGGAAUGUGCUCACUAACUGGAGAUGUUAUGAGUUUGCAGACACAGGGCCAGACAGGGGCAAACAUUAAUAGAGGAACUCGAAACAAAGUCAUGCAAAGAAGUGAAGCUAGAAAUGGCCUAGUAAAAUAUAAGUUUGGGUUAGGUUUCCAGAUAUAUUUAUGUAAAUUGGCCCACCAGGAGCUUUCAAAAACAUCAGUUGUCAGUUUCCUUUCUACAACAGCAGUUGUUACAGAAUGUUAUUUCACGUAAUUCCUCUUUACUGUAUCUGUGCAUUGUCAAUAAUCAGGACAAAAGGUCAGAGGAGGUAAAAAUUAUUUUAAAAACCCCAUCAACAACAGCAAGCUAUAAAAAGAUGCAUGGGAAGAGAGCCUUGUUACUGAACCAGUGUAGGCUUUGUUUUAACAUUUCUGGGGUAUGCCUCUGGCGCCUGAUCCUUCCUGAAAUUGCCCAGACACAAGGAUGCCAGGCAAAUCAAGUAUUUGCAGGAGUCUGCCCAUUAGUUUGUAGGAGAGUGGAUUGUGCUUUGGUUUGGAUAGGGUUAGCACCGAGCCUUUAACAAAUGAAUGUGCAAAAUGCUAAUGCAAAUAUAGGUACUUGGGGUUUUUUUGUUUCUGUCUUCAUCUGCUUAACACAGUAAAGAGCACCAGAGGCAAUUUGAAUGAUGUACUUUCAGUGAGUUUGCAGAAAUUUGCCUAAAGAUGUCUGCCAGUGAAUUUCAUAGAAGUGGAUUUAUUCCGGGGAGAAAACCUGAAAGGGUGGAGAGGUGAUAAAAGGGAAAUGUAGACAUCAGGGAAGUAAACAAUGGAAGAAGCAGACAGAACAGAUGACAGAAAACACACAACAACACUGCUUGGUUAAAAUAAAGGAAUUGGCUGUGCUUAUAUGAGGGGUGGGGGAGGCUGACACUAGCUUCAAAUACUCCUGGACCUUCACUGCUCUGUUCCCACAGCAUGGCAUGCCACUUUGAAGCUGUGCCAACACAACUCUUUGUGUGGCCUCACAGUGAAUCAGACUGAGUUCACUUAAAAAGAAGUGGACUCAUUUUGCCAGGUCAUUCAAAAUCAGUUCACUAAUGUGGUAUAGAGCAUGACACACACAUUCCUGAAAAUAAUGUAUUGCAAAACCACAGCCAUAGUUCAUGCUGAAGGAAAAUACAAGAACAUGGGAAUAGUUCCAAUUCAAAACAAGUGCUUCAAGAAGGGCAACGUUCAGAGAAGGUAGACAAAACCAUACAUGAAAAUUUUAGUUGAAGCUGGAUCAUAUGCGGACGCUGGCAACUGAGUACUAUUAAAAGCACAGAAUACAAUGAAUACUACUGAAAGCAGAAGUAUUAGAAAAUAAAAAGGACCACCACUUGGAAACUGGAAAUGCUUGAAACAGUCUAGUGUGGUUUUGCUCAGAUCAGCUAGUUUUUUCAUUAAUAUAUCAUACUUGUAGAAUCUGCAAAAAUUCACAAAUGUUUCUCUUGAUGCCAAAUGCUGACUUAACAAAGUUAGCCCCUAGCAUUAAGCUAAGUACCAAUCUUUACAAAUUCCACUGUACAAGCUAUGCUAAAAUAAUCUUUACCUCUUUUCAAGUUUGUCAUGUGUAUAGGGUUUUUUCUUCCAAUUUCAUGCCUGUAGCCAUGCAUUUCUUUACAGAAAAGAGCAAUUUUUACGGGGGGGAACCUUCACUGUGUUUCCUUGUGGGACUGCUUUCAUCAUCUCCUGUUUCUAAGGUCUUGUUCAGUGCUUUAGGCAAAUUUUGUAAGCUCGAAGGGGAAGUAUAUUCAAAACCAAGAAUCUCAUUUGCAUAAACCAUAUACAAGGUGUACUUUGAGAGAACUGAGGAAAAUAAUUUAGUCUGUUUUGUUCCUUAAAUAUAACAAAACUGCAGACACAAUUCUGAACUUAGUGCAUUGUGCAAAGAACUGUAGUAGCAAAAUUUUCAUCGACUGUUCUAAGUUUUCCCUUGAUAAGACAUGAAUCUCUCCCUAUCUUUUCCAUUAAGUACAAAACUGAAGUUGCAUUUGGAUGUGGUUGUGAAUUUCAGGAAGCCUUGGGCUUAAGCACCUGAGUUCACUGGGCCGUGUUGCACAUUUCAAAAUCAGACCCACUGAAUGCAUUGUGAUGUGUUUUUUAAAUCUUUUUUUUUUUUUUCCCCAGAAACAUGGUUCUAUUGCCUAUUGCAAGCCCUGCCAUCCCUAGAUUUUAAAUAUAUGCCUAUCGCCCCCUACAAGGAAGCCUGCACUUUCUUUUUCCCUCUGGAUAGUAUUGAUUUUUAACCCACAGUUGCAUCAAAUCAUAGCCAAUUUGCUCUUUGGCACUCUUCCUCAGGUUACUUAUCAGAUGGGUUCAGAUCAGAUCCAAAUGAACAGGGAGAUUAUAAAACUGCAAGGCACAGGAGAAAGUGUCUGAACGAGGCAUUUAGAUUAAAAUGGUGACCUAAGGUUGUUAAGGACUCUUUCACUGUAUAGGAAAAAGAGGGACCUCACUUAUUGUUACAUGUUUGGGAUACUCAAGAGCAUCUUGGACAAGAUGAUCUCCAGAAGUCCCUUCCAACCCCUACCAUUCUGUGAUCUCUGCCUGCAGAUGGACAAGAGGCAUGUGCUGGCACAGGCAUUACAAGUCUGUCAAAUUCACUGUGUACUAAAAGCCUCUGUUGCUUCCCCAUCUGCAUAUGAUUUCCCCAUGUCCUAACAGUUCUGCUGGCAGGUGUACUCAUGGAAAUAACCAGUUAUAAGCUGGAGGUAAAUCUUCAAAUGUGGUAAAUUCUGUGCUUGACAGGUUAACACGCUGUAGGAGACAAAUAGAGUAAUGGAUGCUUCCCUUCACUUGAUGUUUAUACACAUUCAAAGCAUUGCUCUGGUCAGUUUUCUCCCUGCUUGCAAUCUCUGCUUUUUAUUGAGGUGAAACUUGGAGGUGAAGAAAUGAACAAGAAUAUUUAUAAAAAUUCCGUGUCAUCUCUAAAGGUUUGCUCCAUAACUGACCGAACUGAUUUGUAAAUCAUAGAUUAAUUUUACUCUUAUCAGAUGGCUGUAAGGAAGCUAUAUGCAACACAAGAUUUCCUCUCUUAGACAGUGAUUGUUUUUGUUUGUAUUUUAUCAAGGCAUGUUUAAAUUUACAGUCAAACAGCCAACAAAAUCAUUAAGCGUUAUAUGCCUCCUGACUACUCUAGAAAUACCUCUCCAUCUUCAACAGCCAAAUCUUCUGAGUUGUGCUGAACUGGCUUCUGCCUCACCCAACAUAAUUUGGUCCUCAAAAGAGCAAUUACAGAGCAAAUUUGCUAUUACAAGAGAUGCUUCCCCCCCCCCCCCCCCAUUUCUAUAGUAUAUAAUACAAUGUUGGAAGCUUGGGGGUUGGGCGGGGGGUGUCAAUACCUGUAGAGCGAAGGUGCUGUCAUGAGACAAAAAAAAACCAAACAAAAAACCCACUAUAUCAAUCCACUUUCUAAGAUGGAACUCUACAGAGAGGUGGAUAGGUGCACAGUUUCAGUAAAGAGAUGCCAUUGGUUCUGGAAGUGCAAGGUCCUGUUUUAUCAUAGUAGCUACAGAUCUCAAAUACAUGAUGCUACAUGGGGACAAGCUUUGUAGUGCUUUAAUGUAGCACAACUUCAGUGGCAUGCCUUACUGUUACACUUACACAGGCAAGGCUUUUAUCUAGACAAUGGAAUCCUUAAUGUGUUAAAGAUAAAAGGGGCGAUGAAUUUUUGUCUGUCACAAAAUUACUCCAAGUAAUCCAUAUGAUCAAGAUCCAAUAAAAUGCCCUCAGUAGCUAAAUAAAACUAGAAAUAUGCUUACACAGCACACUUUAUGGUGCGGUCACAGGUUUCCUCAGGCAAGCAAAUAGAAGCUUAAAUUGGCCACACUGACAAGUAAGCUUUUUAAUCUAGGAAGUUAAAAGCUUUCGCAGUUGAUGCUAGAUGCAUGAGCCAUCUCUUUGUAGUGUGGGGCUAUGCAGGAGGCAAGGCAUGAGAAUAGCACUUCAGUAGUUACUACCUUGUCAGAGGUGCCUGUGUUUGAAAUUUGAGAGAAUUCCUAUUAAUAUUUCUGCUAUAAAGUUGAAUCAUAACAUAGCUGGGGUAAAACUUUUACAAGACUGUGGAGCUAUAUAUUGAGGCUAUAACAUUGCUAUUUAAAUUUGUUUAAAAAAAGAAUAAAACCCAUGUAGAUGAAGAUGUAACUUCUAGCUAAUUACAGAAUGGAAGUCUAGAAAAGAUUAAAAAGCCACUUUCUUAAUUGCCACAAGUCUCAUGAAUGCAGCUAAAAACUAGAACUCAAUGGAAUUAUUAUUGGCUACAGAAGCACAAAGUUAAAAUGUAGCUAUAGAAAUGUGUAACAUCUACUAUUACUAUCAAUAUGCUGUGUCCUAUUCCACAUUGGCUAUGACUAUAAUAUUGAUGAAACAAAAACAUAUGUAGCAGGCUACAUGCUCAUCUGGGGUGAUACUAAUUUAGUAGACAUUCAGUUUACUUCUAUGAAGGUCUUAAAAAGCCUGUUUUCAAGGUAAUAGACCUAGUGCUUUGAGAAUGUGUGUACCUAAUUUUAUUUACAUGAGCAGUUCCCUUGAGACAUGUUAGCAUAAAAAGAAUUACCUGAAGUUCAAAGAAUUUAGCAAAGGCAAGGAUGACUUACACCAUUAUUAUUUAUUGAUUUUAUUUUUUUUAACUCACUAGAAGAUGCUUUCCCAGACAAUGAAGAGUUAAUGAAGAAUAAAAUCAGUCAAACUCUGGCUUGUCAGAAUUUCUGGCUGUGUUCCCUGUGAUCGUGUCUGAAUGUAGAGUGUUUACAGGCAGCUGACUGCCUUUUAUCAGAAACCUUCAAAUAAAGAGGGCUUUUUCUACCUUAACUCUGUCACCUAACAUUCAAAUAAUCUGCUGUUUUGAAUGCAAUCUUGUAAAAUAAAAAUUACUUGAAAAGUUUAGAAAAGCAAAUAUUAAACAGAGCUGAAGAUAUCAUCUGUGCCCCAAGACACUGUUGGGAAUUGUCUUCAAGGGCUGAGGAUGAGGAAGGAACAGCAAACACAUGAAAGAGGAAAACUGAGUAGCACAGUGUACUGUUAGGUUAGCGCAUGCUCAUGUCCUAAACCCCUGGGGCUGGUAGAAGAAUCCCAUAGAGUAGAAACCUACAUUGCAGGAGACUAGAAGUCAUGGGUCCAUCUCUCUACUGUGCUGUCUCAGGAACAGCUGUAUAGUAGACAUCUGGCUGACUGUAAUAGUUCUGCAGUCUGCCAGUAUCAGGCCAAAAAAGCAGCCAAGGAUUAGCUAGGUACAAGAGUCUACGAAGAUUCAAAGGGUUAUGCCUAGUGCAAGCUAAAAGGUUGUCUAAAUAAUGGAGAGUGCAAUAGUGGAACGUUGCUGACGUCUAAUUGCAGAACAGGAAAAAUACAGUAAGUUGGAUACUAUUUAUAUAAGAAAAACAAAGUACUGAACAGAAAAAAACACUAUGGAAAGCAAUCUACAACAUAGACAAAGGACAGCAGCAAAUAGCUUGUGAAAUUAAUGAUACAGAAAAUCUGGAAGUUUUACUUAUAAUUUGUUGUUCAAAAGGAAGAAAGACCAGCAAUGACUGUUUUAUAUAGCUGCUGAUUACUCACAGAUGAUGAAGGGAAAAGAAAAUGUGGAGUAAGUAAUGAUCUAUUGGUUGAAUCACAAGCAUCGCUUAAUAUAUGUAGUUCAGUUAGUGAUCCUACCUGCUGGCUGUCCUUUGCAACAGGCAUGACCACCCACCUGCAGGGCUGAAGUUGCACUGAGGUGGCUAUUGUUACCAAUGCUAUUUGCUGAUGCUCCCUUUUCCUAUCCGGGGAGAGGAAGAUGUUACCAGAUUACUUGUCACACUGGUCCCUAUAACAAUAAAAGUAAACAUUGCUAGUGUGUAAUGAUACUGAUAGCUCUUCUCUGGGAUGAAAAUAAGCCCUGUGAAACAGGUGGAGAUGCAAAUAAGCAUUUCUCUGCAGCAGUAGUGGAGCGUAGAGUUAUCAGAAACGGACAAAGAGCAGGAAUGGACUUUAGCUGUGAAUGUAUUUUCUAAAUUAACUUAUCAAAUUAUUGCAAUAACUUGGAUGUUGAGUAACUGCAUCAGCAACUAAUCCUUCAUUCCCUUUGAGGAGAGUCAUGUGCUUUCCCCAGCUACAGAAAUUUCCUGAAGCACAUGUGUGCAGUCUAAGUGCUCUGAUAAUGAUUUAGGUUUCCAAACAAACACUGUCUUCACCGAUAACUUCAAAUUUUGGUGCACAGCAUGUCAACCUUAAAAGUGAAUUCAUUUAAGGGAUUUAUUCUGUAUUUAGAAUACAAAUGUUGCAUCAUCACGCUUCCUUUGGGUAACUUGCCUGUGGGGCUUUCUUGAUAUAUAACAGACCUCAUUUGGUAUAAAUUGUUGCAGCUCAGUUGACUGUUGUGAAUCAAAGCUACUUUGAAGAAGCCAAAGAUAUGCCCAAGCUUUUUAAUUUUUUCAUGAUUAUAGUCGUGUGUUUCUUCAAACAUUUUUGUCCUUCACUAUCAAAAUAAGUGGUAUGAUUCCUAUAUGUUUGUUCUGGGGCCUUGGGUUUUUCGGCAUAAGUUGAUGUAUGCCAUACAUAUUCAGUGUCCUCAACAGAGAUUUUGCUACUUUCACAAGCUUUAAAUUUGCCUUUCUUCUGCAAUCUGGAUUCCUUUGUGCUUUGUUUCUAAAGCCUUUGGAAAAUGUUUCUCUCACACAUCCCUUUGAUUAGAAUAUAAAAUUACAUAAAACAGUCAGAUAUCCAAAUUCUGUCUCUUCAAGAGAACAGCAGAUUUUGUUUCUCUCAUGAUGACCAGUGUAAUUAUUCUGGAUUGCUUUAAAAUUUCCUGUAUAUGUCCAUAUAUCAGUACUUUUUAACUAUCUAUGUUUCUGUUAAUGCUUUUAUUUCUAGGAAUACAAAUGCAUUAAAUUCCAUUACAGACAGUCAUAAAAAGUCCUUUAUCUUUGAUCUCUGUUACAAGAGUGACAGUUGCUUGAAGUAUAAAAACCUAAAAUUAAGCAGGACCUUAAUCAAGAAAUGUUCUUUGAAAGCUGAACUAGAUUGUAAUGUAUGGUGUUGAAGGCACUGGCUAUUUCUUGUCCAGAAUUGGCAAACGGUUUUGUCAGAAAGCACUAGUGGCUGAGACUGUGAAAAUCAUAGCCCAAGCAGAAGUUCUCCUCUAAUGCAGAACCGAGUGGUGUGCUUAGCUUAAUCUACAAGUAAGGAGCAGCACUGGGUCUGAGGCUAAGCUCUUCAUGUACUAGACUCUGAGUAAGACCAUCUCAGUCCCUCCUGGAGUAUUCUUCUGCAAGUGUCUUCUCUGUUGAAAUCCUGUAUGUUUUUAUCUUCUAAGUACUAUUUAAACUGCAGUAUGUUGUCAGGCAAACCUCAUUUUGCAUGUUCUCCCUUCUGCUUAAAUCACAUGUGUUUAUUAUUAACCUGUUUCCUAGGCAGAUUCAGUACUUUUUCUGGAGAGUUCUAAUAAGGCUUGCUGGCCACUCUGACCAGUCAUCACACCUGUCCUCUCCCUCCCUGGUAGCUUUCCAGCCUUCAUAUCAAUCUGCUUGAGUAUGAAGAGUCAUAAUUGAUUACUAUCUUACAGAUGCUUGAGAUUAAAAGUUUUGUAAGCUGCUGAAUGCACCUGCUAUACUGCAAAUUCAUGACACUGUUUAUUCAGCUCUUCCCCCGUCUUGCUCAUGCUGCUUAUGUAUGUGCAAUGACUUAUUACUUACAUUCCUUUGUCUUAUAAGGUGGAACUUUCAUUUGAAUGUUCAUUGAGUUGAACUGUGCCUUAUAACAUAAUGUUUGAGUUGCCGCAUCCUCAACUGAUUCCCAUUUCUCCCGCUUUGGAUAUUAAUCCCAGCCAUUGAUGUGAUGGGCUGUGUUUUUGCUUUGUACGAUGGUUGGCCUGUAACUGAAAAGAUCAGUGUUAUCAGUGACACCUAAUUCUAUUCCUUAUGUGGCUGAUAAGCCAUGUUAUGUCCAUUUCUGUGUUUGAUCACAUGGUGAAGUUUCAUGGCAACUGGAAAUGCAAGGUAGAGGAAGAAUCUCUGUAUGGUAUCAGCAGCAGCUAAAGCAUCCGUUCAGCAAAUCCGUGUGCUUAACAUGCAACCACAGCUACAAAGGAGGACAGUGCUAUUAUCCCAUUUACAAAUUAAGAACCUGAGGCACAAAUAAGAACAAUGACAUGCCAGAGGUCACACAGGAAGUCUGUGGGAGAACUGGGAGCUGAACUCUGGUCAUUCAAGUCUGAGAAUGAUUAACCAUGUCAAGGAACUGGGGAAGAUGGGACACCACAGGCAACUGCUGGAACAGACUGGAGAGAAUACACAUGCAUGUGUGCACAAGUGUGUCUGGCUGUCAGAAAUCAUAACCGAGAUCUCCUAGAGGUAUCCCCUCUUAGUUUUAUUGGGCAUUCACAUGUUUUAGAUUUUUAUUUUUCCUACUGACACUUUAUUCAAAAUUUGCAAAUAUGUUGGGAGCAGGAAAAAAAAGCGUUGAGAGCAAUGUUUGCAAGACGUGAUGCACCAAAGCAGUUCAACUACAUUUCUAGCUCCACUUUUUCUUUCUUACUGACAGUGAGCCUGGCAGGGGCUCUGCUCUGAAGUCCUGUUCCUAAACAAGUAAACAUUUAAGACCUGAAUUCUUCAGGAUCACUUAUACCUGGAAGCUUUUGGUCAACCAGCAACAACAGGACUAACAUUGUAGAAAAAAAUGUCAUCUUUAUUGCCAUAAACCAAAAUUCCAGCUGACUGGUACUGGCCUUUCAUAUAAAUUUAUGUUCAUUAAUGAGAAAAAGUCUACCAGGUAUUGUUGCAGAUAUACAUUUGCUAUACAUUUACUCAGUCUUACUUGGAAGGGUUUUUACUUUUAAUUUUUUGGACACUUUUUUUGUUGAAGACAAAGAAUAGAAAUACUGUAAAUAGCAGGACUGAUCCUAUGGACAAAUAGCAAAUAUAUUUUUCUUGUUUUUUUUUUUUUUUUUUUACCUCGGGAGGUUCAAAUUUAAGUUAAGCAUUUAAACAUAUGCAUAACUUUGAACACAUGAAAACAAACAAAAAAGUGGUUUGUAUGCUCUAAGUCUCAGAGCCUUUCUUGAAACUUUGCUUCAGGACUUAAAACCUGAGCAUUGAUAGACAAUAACAUUCUUUCCCAGAACAGCACCAAUAUGCUUUAAAAACCUAUGAAACAAUGUCAAUGUAAAGAGAUAUUAUAAAUGUACACAUAACAAUGCAGUCAGAUAACAUUCAAACAGAUAAUGUUAAUCAGGAUUGUCAGCUGCUAGACUGGGUAGCCUCCAAACUGUAGAUAUCUGGUGUGUGCUACUAUCUUCUGCAAGGUUACUUCUCUCUACUGACCAGAUUCCUCAACUUACUGCAUCCACAGUUAAAAAUAACCAACAACAAAGAGUGGGAAGAAUUAAAAGCCAGUUUAAACUUUCUGAAUAGAAAGUUAUCUGCUGUUUUCUGUCUGCUCCAUUUGUCUUGAAAGAGACUGAUAGAAGAGCAAACUGCAUGAACACCUUUUAAAUGUGUGUCUUUUUUGACAGCGAUUAGUCUUUUUAGGAAGUCAUUCAUUAAUGUGAUCUCUGACUUAUGAAUGAUCAACUGCUAACUUGUUAGGUUGCUCCUGCUUUAUUAAUUUGUUUCAAGAGGAGGAACAUGGGUUUCUUCUUUCCAAGUCCUGUUCUGUCUGUAGUUAGCUAAUUUGCCACUGAAGGCAGCAUUUCAGAAUAGACGAGGCUAUAUUAUCCACUUUUCAGGAAACAAUUUAUUGAGUGUAUGGUCCAGGACAUACAUUGCCCAUCAACUCGGCUCCUGUAAUCUUGGUAAUUCUUAAGGAUAAACAUCUCCUGUGUCUUUCUAUGCAGCAUUUGCCCUAAUUACCAGCACUGUACUGUGGUGCUUUUUGAAUGAAUGGCAAAGGUCUCACCUUCCCCAGACAUUCUUACCCUGGUACUUCUUGAUGGUGCUGCUGCUUUUGUUGACUCCGAGAAAGCCUAGAAAGCAAUAGUAUAGAUGCCUAAUUUGCAGGUAGAGCAAUGACACAGUACCUGUGGAUCUUCCUGAUCAAGGAAGCUGAAAUAAAUUCGCUUGAAGGAAAAAGUGAGCUGAACUAACCUGAGGGUUCUCUCUAGCCGUACAGCUAAGGGACCACAGGCACUAGUGGAGAAGGACAAAGUUAUUACUGCACAUUAUAGGAAUUUUAUCUUAAUGGUCAGGCUUCUGGGACAUACUGCAGUGUCAGGUGAUUUACACUCUGCAUAUCUGGAGUUUCUACUGGUGUGCUACCUGAGUUGCUUGACUAACAAUGCCAAUGUCAUCAGGGAAAACCUGCUGGAUUUGUAUGCAAGAAGCAUGAAUGUAUUCAAGAGCCUGUAACAAAGGUUUUGCUUAAAUUUAAAACCUCAAGUUACGCUGGCAUAAAAGCAUACCAGUUGUACAUUAAUAGACUGUGAUCAGUUAAAAAGAAUGGUAAAUAAGAUUACCAAAGUGUCCAAUGAAAAAUGUGUACAGGUACUGAGAGCUGUUCUUAAUUGCAACUUAAUGAAUGAACGAAAACUUACAUAUAUCCCCCUGUCUUCCCACUGAAAUGGCUAAGCUCUAGUCUUCCAAGGAUUUAAAAAAUGAAGCAAAACUCUCACCUCUUUCCACUUUCCUUGCCUCUGCUUUAAAUCAUAAGGCUGAGGUUUAUUUGUGCAACAUAUUAUUGUUCUGUUUUCAAACUUUUCUUUCUGUCUGAGGUCUAGGUACUUAGUUGUUUUGCAGCUUUUAAUAGGAAUAUUUUUAAAGUAGUGACACACCUCUGUGAACAGAAUUUCUAAUUGAUAGAGAAUAUUUCAGAAGUUAUUGUCAUACAGUUAUUGCUAUAUGAAAGUAUAUAAACAAUCUAUGACUUAAUUCUCAGUUCAGUACUGAGUCGCAUUUACCUUCAUCACUGCCUGUGCUUUUAAAACUAUCUACUGACUUGAUUAAACUGUGGAUUCUCCAGGAAAUGGAAUGCAAAAAAAUAGUUGCUCUAAUUCAAGAAAAAGAAUAAAAAAAUUAAGACAAAACAACUCUCUCUUUCCUCUUCUUGAAAAAAGUUCUUUAACGUGUCCCCUCCUACAGCUGGGCAAUGAAAAGUGGCAUUUAAAAAGCAAAACAAACAAAAACCAUCCCCCAAAGUAAUCUAACAGCAAACAAGAUGAUUUCCAUGCCAGUGGAGAACUGCUGCAACCUGUAAUGGCAACUCAAGUGUUAAA